rnacentral:tRNA from 1 species
GUUUUUAUAAUUUAAUAAAAAUAUUGGUUUUGUAAACCAAAAAUAGGAUCUUAUCCUUAAAAACA